CGCAGAAGGGCGCCCUCGGAAAGGAAGAGCUACUGGCUCUGCAGCGAUAUUAACUAGCUUCCAGGAGGCGGAGGCCAGCGCCUCCCUGCAUCCCCGUCUCGGCAUUAAACCAAACGUGGACGCCCUUGAUAGACUUUUAAAGGGAAAGCAGGAAUCGUCCUUUACACUUCACCUGCUUUUUACAGCGCAGGGGCCUCUGACAUUUGUGUAAAAUCCACCCGCCAGGAACCGCAGGCUCAGAGCUCAGAAGCGCCCUGUCCUCUUCAGGAGCCCGGGGGCUGACGCCACUCCUUCGAGGGGGCCAAGGCUGAAAAAUCAGCUGGCAAAAGGCAGAUUAAUUGGAGAAAAGGCAUACACGUUUAUGUAACGUAUGUACACAGGAGCCUUCAGCAUAAAGAACGAACGUACAGGGGAACUUGUCCACUUUUAUGCUUCUGUCCAACAAAGUAUGGACGGCCGGGUAGAAUAUGAUCAGACAAGAAGGGUGUGAUCUAACGCUGAGACCGAGUGAGGACACCCAGCAAGGCCUGUCCGGCUAGAUUCUGCCUGGCCUCUCUGAGCACACAUUCCUUCCUUCUGGAAUGAGGGGGUCUUAUGACCAGCAGUCAAACAAGAGCAGAAUGCAGAGAAGAGAUCCAAUUAAUUAAUCGAUCACUUCAGUUAUUGGGUUUCUGGUUUCAAGAAGUCAAGAUCUGCUACUGAAAUGUGCCAAAAGGAGGACCACUCAAAAAGUGCAGCACUUCCUGAAGAAAGGCAGAAUAAAGCAGCUGACUGCAGAGGCCAGGACGGCAGCGCCAGUGAAGGCUUCACACUGGGAUCUCAAGGCGGUAGCUCACAAACUUGUCUUUUAAGGGUCCUAAGGUCAACCAGAUUGGGAGCUUUCUACAUUCUCUAACCCACCUCCGUGGAAAUGCCCCAUGCCUGCAGUGCCCAGGUGUGUAUCAAAAGCUUCGAAAAGUCACACAGCCAAGAAAUCUGCUGAAUUCUAUUCAGCCGAGGGUCUUCCAAACUAACUGGACCAUGGGCCCUCUCUUGGCCUGACACAGCCUCAAGCCACUCUGGGGAUCCUGACUUGGCAUGCAUGGCCAGGGAGAGCACUUCUGAGAGCAGGAUUGUCAUUCAGACAGGGGUGUGCAGACACGUGUUAGCAGUGGACACCAACACACGGUAAUUUUCCUGGGCACCAACUCUGAGGAAUGAAGUCUUUAAAGACUAGAGUAAAGCCAAAAAAAAGAGAGGUGGGUGCCUAAAUUGAUAAACGCCUGAACAUGAAGUCUCUGAAUUCUACUUCUCAGGGAACAGGAGGGCCUGGGGCAGAAUGAUGUCUGGGUGGUCAGAGGUCACGAAAGCAGAUUUUGGUCAAGUCUGAGAAAUGAGGCACAGGAGCUGCAUGGUGUGGUCUUCUCGUCUGUGAUAACAAUUUUCUGUGGUCCACUCAGGAUGUGUCCAGAAACUUGAGGGUUUGGGACAGGUUCACAAAAUCAGCACUUAAUACCCUUUAUCAAUGCCUUGGCUUAAAGAGCCAUUCAAACACCCAGAGUGUGUGUGAGGGAACACACAUGCAUGCACAGUGUGGCCUGAGACUCAACUGUAAGUCUGAGCUUAUGCUGCACCUGCUUUAUUUCACACAGAAUGUUAGAGUUGCUAGUAUCUACAUCCAGUCAUCCUUGACUCUAUCUUGGCCUCUAAAAUACCGGAGUUAAAAUUCUCCUACCACAUAGAGCAAGAUUCAAAUGCAAGGCCAGGAGGGAUUAGGGUACAAGGCAUGCUG
rnacentral:lncRNA from 1 species